AUUCUUGCCUGGCAGGGGAGAUACCAUGAUCACGAAGGUAGUUUUCCCAGGGCAAGGCUUAAUUCAUUGCACUCUAGUUAUGCUGACCCCUGUGAUUUCCCCAAAGCCAGGAAACAGGACUGUAUAAUUUGUGGUAGCAGGAGAUUACAUUUGCACUCUCCUU
ensembl:snRNA U1 U1 spliceosomal RNA